UUACGGCUUUAUCAAGUUGAAACACCGGUUCCCGUACGAUCACCGAAGUUAAGCAACGUCGAGUUUGGUCGGUACGUAGAUGGGUGACCGCUUGGGAAUACCAGGUGCUGUAAG
rnacentral:rRNA from 1 species